UCUUGCAUAACCUCUGUUUCAGGUUAAAGGGACAAAACCCACUUUCACAUCUUUCUGGCUAAGGUCUUGCCUUGGCUCUCUUUGCUUCACAGCAGAGUCACUGACCCACACUGGAGUCUGUGGGUGGGACCACAAACAGGAACGUUCACACAACAGAACGAACAUUUCUCUCUGCAAACUGGGAUCCCUGCGCUCUCAAUCCAAGGCCUUGCUGAUGAUCGCCCAGGGCUUCCGGGAGCGAUUAGCCCCAACCCUCCAUGAAGUGACUGUGUUUGCUUCCUUUCAUAUGUUGACCCCAGGCUUUUUGGCUAGCGUAUCAAAGAAGAGAAAUCUGAAAUGGGUUUCCGAAUGUUCAAAGCUCCAAUUCCUGCAGAAGAGUAUUUAAAACAACCCCCCCUUGGACUCUCGGAAGAAGUGGACAGCAGUAUCCCCACUUAGAAACCUGCAGGUGAAGGACUGGGCGAGCCAGAGGCAACGUGUUUCUCAUUAGAAUUCUUGGCAAAGCGUUUUGAGGUGCAUCUGGAAAAGAAAUGAGAAGCAGCACUGCCAGUGAGCAAGACGGUCAGCUCCCGAGACAGAAACUGUGCUCUGUCUUGUUCAUCACUGUAUCUACACCACCCUGCACAGCACCUAGUCCAUGAUGGGCCCACAGAAACAUAUACAUUGUGAAUCAAUGAACAAAUGGAUGAAAAAUUGCCCACCACAGUGGUGGAGGCUGAACACAGACCAGCUUCCUUACUUCCUUGGGAAGCAGAUUUGCUCAAAGACAAGGUACAGAAGGAGGAGGUGAGGGCUGGAGAACCAAGCAUCCUCUCCCACAGGUCUUCUUCCUCCCUCAUCAGCGAGCCAGAGGCCAAAGGAUGGAUCUCCUUUCCGGUCAUUAAUCUGGGAGUGUACAGUUUCCUCAUUUGUCCAAAGGGGGCAACAGAACAUUCCCUCCCUACCAAAGGGGGUGUUGGGGGGGAUAUAGGAUGGGAACAAGGUGCUGCACAGAUGCUGGCCUUUCCUCUGAUGACAGAACCAAGCCCUCCCAAGAACUAGUGCCCAAGAGCUGCCCAGCAUCCUUAGGAAACUGUAUUGGGAAGGGCCAGGCAGCUAACUGUUCACCUCUCAGUGAAGGCCACCCUUCUAAGCUACCUCAUUUCCCAGUGUGCUCAGCGUCCUGGACAGUAAAAACAGACUCGCCCAAAGAGGCACAAACUGAAGCAAGUUUCAGUAUCAGCUGCUACCUUCUCCACAGGUGGGUCUGUCUGAGCCGGACCGUCAGGGAAGACAGCAGUGCCCUCUUUCCUUUGUAGAUGAAUACGUAUGCUUGGAUAGAAAGCAACCUUGAAUACCUAGGCUUUAUUUUUUUUUUUUCCAAAUGAGAAAAUUAGACAAAACCUUCUGGGGCCAACUUGAACAUACAAACUUUUAAUAAUACAGAUGGAAAAGUCAGCUACUACUCCUGAGAUACCACUAACGAUUCCUUGGCUUUCUUUUCUUAACAAAUUCUGUCAAGGAUCACUUUUCCAAUCUAGAAAUAGCAUUGAUUGAGUUCCUUUGAGGGUUUUGUAUGUUCCCCAAAUAGUAUUUUGUUAGUAAAAAAUAGUUAUUUGAAAAAACACCCUGUCGUUAAGAGCCUAAGGCCGUUCCUUUACUGAAGAAUAUUUUUAGGGAAGUGGUUUAUCCACAGUAUCUUUAGGAAAGGUGAUACUCCCUAAUUACUGAAACUUGGGCCAGAGAAUUUAUCUUUGUGGGAUAUUACUGGACUAUGCAAAAUUGUAUAAGAACUAAUUUCUGGAGUUCCAGGCACAGAGGUAUCUCUUUCCUUGCGUGCCACAGUUACUUAUAAAGUUUUAACUUAGUCCUGGGAAGAAAAGCUCUUUUCAUUGGAAAGAUACAGAUGGAUGGAAUAACAACUAUAAUUUCCAUUUAUUAUGUUCUUCCUUUUAUUAAAUACUUAUUACGUGUCAAGUGUUAUGCAAAAGACUUUACAUGUUUUAUCUCAUUUAUUUUUCUACAAUAGUUUUUGGAGUCCUUUACAUUCAUUUAUUUUCAGUCCUGUUUUGCCACUAACAUGUUUUAAAACUGUAAAUAUGUCUCGAGGUACUGCUUUAUCUGCAUUCUGUAAGUUUUUUUUUUUUUUAGAGUUGUUCAAACCUAAAUAUUUUGUAUUUUUUUAUUAAA